rnacentral:rRNA from 1 species
UACGAAGGGUGCAAACGUUGCUCGGAAUUAUUGGGCGUAAAGCGCACGUAGGCGGCUUAGCAAGUCCCAUGUGAAAUCCCACGGCUUAACCGUGGAAGUGCAUGGGAAACUGCUGAGCUUGAGUACUUAAGAGGAUCGCGGAAUUCCCGGUGUAGAGGUGAAAUUCGUAGAUAUCAGGAGGAACACCAGUGGCGAAGGCGGCUUCCUGGACACCAACUGACGCUGAGACGCGAAAGCGUGGGGAGCAAACAGG